AUGGUUGACUUAAAUGAGGAGUGCAUUAUCCACCUGAAAUUCUUGCUCCUGUGCUUCCAAGCGUUGUCGGGUCUCAAAAUUAACUUCACCAAGAGUGAAGUCAUUGUUACUGGGGUCUCGGAUGUUGAGGCCCAAAGAGUUGGUCGUCUCCUCAAUUGCACUCUAGGAUCCUUCCCUUUCAAAUACCUUGGCCUCCCGAUCUCUCCCCUCAAACUCUUGGCUAGAGAUUUUGCUCUAGUUGUCACUAAGGUGAGAAAUCGGGUCCUACCUUGGAGAGGUCGGUACAAUAACCAAGCGGGCAAGGUUGCCCUUACCAAUGCUUGCCUCUCCUCCCUCCCCAUGUUCCUGAUGGGAUUCUAUCUUCUCUCUAGAGGGAUCCAUGCUAGCUUUGACAAGCACAGGAGUGCCUUCUAUUGGAAUUCGACUGAUAAUAAACACAAAUAUAGGAUGGUGAAAUGGAAACUCAUCUGCAGACCCAAAAACCUGGGCGGGUUAGGCAUUACUAAUACGGUUGUCAUGAAUAAAUGUCUCAUCCUAAAAUGGUGGUGGAAAAUCAUGUCCUCUGUUGAGAGCCCUCUUUGGCUAACCAUCCUUAAGGUAAGUACUUUCCGGGCUCGAGCCCCAUGUUUGCUUCGCCCGUUGGUGGCUCCCAAUUUUGGUGCCAGCUCGUUAAAGUUCGUCCAUUUUCCAGUCUCCGGUCAAAUUUGUAGUUCGAAACGGUAA
rnacentral:rRNA from 1 species